rnacentral:rRNA from 1 species
GACGAACGCUGGCGGCGUGCCUAAUACAUGCAAGUCGAACGCAGUGGGGACGGGUGAGUAACACGUGGGUAACAUCCCAACAGCGGGGAUAACACUUGGAAACAGGUGCUAAACCGAUACUGAUGGAUGGACCCGCGGUGCAUUAGCUAGUUGGUGAGGUAACGGCUCACCAAGGCGACGAUGCAUAGCUGGCCUGAGAGGGUGCCCGGCCACACUGGGACUGAGACACGGCCCAGACUCCUACGGGAGGCAGCAGUAGGGAAUCUUCGGCAAUGGGCGAAAGUCUGACCGAGCAACGCCGCGUGAGUGAAGAAGGCUUUCGGGUUGUAAAACUCUUUUGUUAGAGAAGCGUUAUCUAACCAGAAAGCCACGGCUAACUACGUGCCAGCAGCCGCGGUAAUUC